rnacentral:lncRNA from 1 species
AGUGAGGAAAUGAGGCCUCUGCAACAGCUAUGCAAGUGAAUUAUCUUGGUAACAGGUCUUUCAGCCUCCGUCAAGCCUUCAGAUGACUGCGGCCUCAAGUGACAUCUUGACUCACCAGCUAAACUGCUCCCAAAUUGCUGGACCACAAAAACUAAAUCAAGCAGAAGAUUGAGCUGCUGAUGUCAGUUAACUCUGAGAAGUCGUCCUCUUCAGAAAGAGCUGGCUUUUAAGAAGCUUUCUGUCUGCCUGUUCAGUGUGGCCCUCACUGGAGGAAUGAGAAGUGCCUACACACUUAGACUGCAGGGUCUGAGAAUUUUGAGGGUCAUCCAUGUAGGCAGCUCAGCAGGCCGGAGCCUCAACAGAAAGCUCCUUUAGUUCCUCCUCCUCCACCGCCACCACCACCACCACCGCCACCUUUGCCAGACCCCACACCCCCGGAGCCAGAGGAGGAGAUCCUGGGAUCAGAUGAUGAGGAGCAAGAGGACCCUGCGGACUACUGCAAAGG